GGGAGGAAGGGAGGGGCCGAAGGCAGAGUCAGGAGACAAAGGCACCCAGAGUGUACGAGCUAUGUAAUAGUACCGGCAGUUAGCUCUGGUAAUUACACUACUACGUUCCAUAGUAGCUAAAGAUGGCAGUAAAACAGUCUCGUGGCUAGAAAACGAUGGAAUAAGACUAUCAAGGUGGUGAAGCCUAGAACAAAAUUAGGGGGAUCCGAAGGAGCCAGUGAGAGAUCCUGAUAUUCGACUUUACAACGAUAUCAUCUUUAAGUUUCUCAUAAGAAUGAAAUAGAAAGAUAAAAAGGUCGAGAGAAAAAGAAACAGAAAUCUUUCUUUACGAGUAUCACGAGUCGUAUAUCAAGAAACAGAAAUCGAUUUAUUGGCUGCUUGCCUCCUGAUAAAAGUGUCGAAACUAUUUUCAAAUAAGAUCACGCACAUUCUAUUUUUUAAAAUUAUAUAUCGUGUUAGUGGGAAAAAAAGAAAUAGAAAGAGAAAAAAGGACAAUAGUCAAAAGUGUCAUAUAGUAAAGCGAUAAUCGAACGAGAAGUUUAAUUUCUGACGAUAAUCCUCUCGAUUUAUUUGUAAAAGGUCGAACAACGUGUUUGAACACAACAAUAUAUAUAAACAAAAAGUUUCGCUCCUCAUUCUCGUGUACAUCGAUGCAUCAUAUUACGAGAAACCUAGAAAUAACGCACGUUCGGUGAUUCCUGAUGAAAAGAGCGAAGAAAAUGAAAAUAGAAGGAUAUAAAAUUAUCGAUUUUUACUUCGGUAACAAGCAGAAAUGGUGUAUCUCGUAUUCGAAUUUCCGCAACAUAGUUCACUUGUAAGAAAUUUAGCAAUAUAUAUAAAUGAUCGUGUGCUUUAAUGAAUCAUUGCAAGGAACACGAGGAAUAUUAACGAAUUUCGCGCAUGAUUAUUAUUAUCUUCGAGUAAAAGUAGUAUAAUAUAUAUGGAUAAGUAGAAGUCUGUCCGUUAUUAAUAAAGCAACAUGCUAUGUUAAUGAAUCUCAUAAUAAUGAUCUUACGAACGAUCGUUGUCGCCUGACACUUAUAUUUACUCGACACUUAACAUGUUUCUUUUGCUUUUUUCUUUUUUUUUUUUCUUUUUAUUUAUCUUCCUCCUCGAACAAUCGAUAUCGUACUUGGUCACUCGUCGUAUACGUUUCUUUGCAAAUGAACGUUAUUCAUACGUUAUUCAUUGCGAAUGAUUGACAGUAUCAGUAAAUGUAUCAACAUUAUUAUGUGAUGCAUGAUAUAUCUAUCAGUUUAACGGAUCGAUUAAUUAUUAAUCUCAUUGUUUACACAUUCAUGCUCGUAUUUCCAAUUGGAUAUGCAUAAUCCAUUAUUUUAUAAUGGAAUUCAUAUGACGGAAACGAAUGUGUACAAACAUGUACAGUUUCAGCGAUGUGUUAUAAAUAAUUAUCAAGAAUAUACUAUCUAUCUACUCGAAAACGAAAAAAAAGAGAAAGUGGGUUUAUUAAAUUUUCUCAGAAAUUUACGAAGAUCGCGGAUGCGAUCUUUUUAGGCACUUUUUUAGGCAAGCAUUUCGUUUUUAUAACGCUCGAGCUGUCUCCCGCACUGCAGUAACAGUUUGCAAUGCCACACACAGGAUGUCGCUCCGUUAAACACUUUUGAGAUAAAUUGAGAAUAAGACGAAAGGGAAUGAUCGAGUGACAGAAAUACAGAUCGCAAGCUUCCGUGAAUAACCAAGGCUGACAUGGACUGGCUCGCGAGAUUGAUGCACAUUUUCAAAAGAGAAAGAUUAACGCGACGCGUUUUUAUUUGGUUAUUCAUUUUUACUUCUAUUAUCGCACACUUUUCUGCUUUAUACGAGCGAUUACGAAAGUAAUUUAGAGUUUUUUGACGUUCAUUUGAAAUGUAUUCAUUGGACAAUUAAAUUUACUGCAUUAUCUGGAAUCGCUAAACUCUUUGAACUCGGUCGUAUGCGUGCAUUCAUAUAUAUACACUUAACUCGCUUUUAAAAUAAAAAUACCUAUUGAGAUAAGAGAAAGAGAGAGAGAGAGAGAGAGAGAGAGAGAGAGAGAGAGAGAGAGAGGGAGAGAGAGAGAGAGAGGGAGAUAUAAAGAGAAAUGGGAAGUAAUUGGUGUGAGGAAUUACGAAAUUCGUGCUUGAAUCUGUGCGACUUCCGAUAUUUGAUAGCGAGCUUCUGAAUUUUCGAGUCUUAGCGGCGCUGCACGUAACCAAGUUUGAUAAAAGGUUUCUCGGCUAAUCGAAGCUCUAAAUUGGCCACACGUUGAGUUAAUCCCUCUUGUCAUACCUCGAUUCGGAUCAGCUGAGCUUUUAAUUCCGUCAGAUCAAACGCGUACGCGUGAAAAAAAAAUUUUCCUUUUUUUUUAUAUUGCAUUGGCAGACGGUAGAAGUCAAUUUUCUACUUUUUCAUUUAUUUUUUUGUUUUUUUCUUUAAUGUUUUUUUCUCCGUCGCAAAAGAUCGAACGAUUUUUUACUUGAAAAGUUAAAGAGAUCCGAGUUCGUUAAGGAGUUCCGCAUUUAGGCGAAACUGAAUGACUCAGUUAAUUCGAUUACAUCAUCGAUUUACGUUGGCGUUUCCGUCCGGAGAUUCGUUUAGCUCUUGUGAUAUCUAUUGAAAAGGCAUAGGUCCUCGUAUUUGAAAACGCGCGCCAGGUUUGCACGGAGCAUUUCAACGGUACACCGGGUCAGUGGGUGUUCCAGACCAAUAGGCUAUGUCUAUGAAUAGAAGAAUCGUGUGCUGGCUGCUGAUGCAUUGCACCGUCUCUACUCUUUCUCUCUCUCUCUCUCUCUCUUUCUCUCUCUCUCUUUCUCUCUUUCUCUUUCUCUCUUUCUCUUCCUCUCUCUCUCUUUCUCUCUCUCUCUCCCGAGUGCUCUUUUUCUCUUGCUCUUUCAUUGCAGCGAUAUGCAUGGGCGCGUCCCGUAUAAAGAGCUUGCUUAUCGUUGAUUGAAAGCGUCUCAUUGAGUAACAGUCGAUGGACUUCCUCCGAUAUUUUUGCGAUUUCCUCCUCACCUAUAUGUCAGGUACGUUCGUCCCCUGAUCGAAUCGUUUCGUUUAACCCAACUAUAUACUCGUUUCGAUUCGUUAAAUAACGAAAAAUAUUAAUUAACGUUUUGAAAUCUAACAUAAAAAUUUCAUUUCAGUGAUUGACAUGUAAAAUUUUCUAGAAUCGUGAUAAUGUUUAACUAAGACGAUAAAGAAUAUAAGGAGAUCGAAAGGUCGAAAAUUAAUUAAAAAAAAAAUCAAUCCUGGACGUCGUAUUCGCAUCGCCAAGCACGAUUAUAUAAUUAUCGUGGAUGUAGGCUAAAUGUGCAUUUGAGUCAAUUGGCGGGACCGAGCACGCCUAGUUACGCUGCAGCGUGCAUUUAUCGGUGUGUGCGUAACUAUACAUAAUACAUACAUGUGCGCUCGUGCUAUAUACAUGAACGCGUGUUGCUAGCCAUGUGCAAUACGACCUUUAAGUGUGUGGUUCUCUCUCAUUGUCAGCGUCAUAGACGCUACGCACCGGUACUACAUGUGCGUCGUUAGGUUCAUCGUUGUGUCGUUCUCAUUGCGCAACCUUGGCCAGAAGGUUGCUAUGCUCGCGUGAGAGAGAAUCGACAUAUAUACAUGUUUGUGCAUGAGAAUCGAGUUGUCUAAGCGUCUUAUUACAUAUAUUUUUUCUUUCUGUUAUCUAACUUUAUCAAGUUUAUAGGAAAAAUGAAAAAACGCAAACUAUUUACUUCCUGCUCUCUUAUAAUAUAUGUAGAACGUAUCAAAAUGAUAUGCCACCGUUUUACCAAUUGAUUCUAUCAUUCUACAGUUUAGUCAAAAAUCAUCCAAGAUGAUCUUAUGGAAUUCAUUUUGAUUUCAAAAAAUAAAGUCAAAUAAAUCAUUCGGUAAACUAGUUAUGUAUCAAUUUUGUACAUCCUAUAGCUAUAUGUAAGUGUAACAUUUAAAUUCCAACAUACAUUCCAUUUCCAUUCCAAUAUACAUUGGCCGAUGGAAAGUAUAAUCCCGAACGAUGUUAAAAACCAUCACACAUGUAUAUUCUGAAACAAACUUACAUUUUAUUACAAUAUGAAUCCUCUUUAUUUUCUAAAUUUUUUAUAUUCUUUGAUUUUAUUAGAAUUCUACUUUCGUUUCAGUUCGUCUAUGUCCCUACUUCGUAAUUGCAAAUCCGUUGGCGAAAAUAAUCUUCUUAACCUCCGUUCUCUGAUAUAACAUUUUUUUCGAACGCCCAGAAGCACGAGUCCACAUUAAAACAAACAUUCCCGCUUACACACAUACAUACAUGGAUUAAUAUUUAGUGAAAAAAAGCUAAAGUAAACGAUGUUUUUUUUUAUGGUGUGAUACUAAUUACGUCACUUAACGAAGACAGAUAGGAAGUUUGGUGAAUCUACAACGUCGUUAUACUUUAUUAAAUGUAGAACUGGAUAGUUGCCAGUAGCAUCUUCAAAAAAAAAAAAAAAAAAAAAAGAAGUGACAUGACGUCAGCACUUCACGUUAUAAGCGUGAAUAAUCGUGUUUAGAAUAUAUAUUUUUAAGUUCUUUUAUCAGAUUAGAGCUUUAUGACCAUCUCGAUUCUCUCCAUCUUUACUAUCUCUACUUUUCUACGCUUUUCUUCCCAUUUCGACGAAAGUUAAUCACCUUAUCGAAUGACUCUUGCGAAAGUUCCAGCCGACGAGAGAAGGGGUCGAGCCCAUUUUCAAGCUAUCCUCGAGUUCGUACAUUAUUUCAUCCUCGAUUCCUAGCACUGUCAGAACCGACUGCCUUCCUCGCGAGCGGCAUAUAAAAGAAGCGAACUUUCCGCGAGGAGGGAUGAAAAUCGCGUUUGUCACGAAGAAAAUCGUAACUUUUCUGUAACUUCGACGAAUCCCGACGAGUUCAAGCGGCGAUAACAACGCGUAUAUUAUACGUAUGUGUUCGAAAAGAGAGAUCUAUUUGCAACGAAAAAAAGUAAUUUUUUCAACAUUGCUCCAUUCGAAUUUCGUUUCUAAAAGAUUUUUAUUUUUCAGUGAUUUUCAAUCUUGUCAAGAGUAACAAAUUUAUAAUAUCAAUAGUCUGUAACUAAGUUUUCGUUGUUUCAUUGGUUAAAAUAAAUAAACUUCAAGCAGAUCACCUGACAAUAUUUUACAACGAAGCAUGGAUUAUAGGAUGUUGCGUCGCUUAUUAUUGUAGUUGGACGAUCAGCGAGGAUGCAAAUGUUAUUUGACUUUAGAUCAGCAUGGAGUAAAGCAAUCGACCGCUAUGGUAGAAUCGCGUUUCGAUUUGGGCAGUUCGUUAGGGCGUCAAACUGAAAUUUCGGCAUAUAGCAAAAUUCCCGGUUUCAUUGGUGUGCGUGCGGUUGGUGGCGACGUAUUUUAUUGGCCGUCAUAUCUGUCUCUGACAGGAGCAGGGUUUCCAACGAUUAAUUAUAAACAACCGGCCGCAACAAUGGCUCCGCGUAAUUAAAGCGAGCGACUGCUUCCUUCUUCUCUCCUCUAACCUCCUCGCUAUCCCUCCGUUACUUCGAAUAUUCUGUCGACCCUACUCUCCGUCGUCGUAUAACCUCUACACGACAAUGUCAAAGCUAAAUAUUUUCUGCCGAUCGUUUUACCUAUUAUCCAAAAGCUCUUUUUUUCGUCUUCGAAAUUAUCAAUAUCGAUAAACGCUCCCUCGUGUACUCCAGCUAAAGGAAAAAGAAGGGAAGGGAUCAUUAACGAAAACUUAAGAUUUUCUCUUUCAACAAGCACUUUUUCAUUUUAUGUACUUUCUAAAUUACUCCACUGCUAUUAGCUAUCGCGAAUGAUUUGGAUGAUACCAUAACGAAGUAUAUAAUAUUUAGAUAUGUACCGAUUACACUGCCUAACACACAUUUUGAUGAAAAGUUAAUAGACCUACAUAUCUUUGAGUAUAUUUGGAGCACUAAUUGCAAAAUUACCAUCGGUUUUACUCUCUCAAAUCUAAUUUUCAAACUAUGACAUAAGCUGUAUAUGAGGUGUAGCAGAAAACUAGUGAAAUUGUUAUUAGAAAACUCUGUAUUUAAAAGAAAUUUAUAAAAUCACAUUAUUAUUAAUUUCAAACUAGUUUCCUUCAAAAACGUUGCUCUUUGUAGCAACGAUUGGAAGUUGUUUAGUGUUAUCGGGUUCAACUGAUCUGUCACCACUUUUUGGAUGUUGUGUACAUUGCCAUAAUGAUGAUCUUUCAGAUUGAAUAUCAGUUUGGGGAAAAGAAAGAAAUCUCCAGGACUCAGAUCUUGUAAAUAGGAGUAGUAAAUGCUCUGAAAGCAUUGAAAUGUUUUUAAGCAAAAAUUUGAUGACCAUGCAGAGUGACUGGGAGUAUUAUUAUGAUAAAGUAUUCACCUAUUUUCAAUAUUUGGCUAGAUACGAUGAACUCUUUUCCAUAAUACUGAUUUUUUCAAUAUUAAAGAUUAAUCGAAUUUAUUGAACAUUUCCUUAUAUUUUUUAUGUUAAAGUUUUUUUGAAAUGUAGUUUGUCUUCCAUACAUUCUCGGUCUUUCAAAAAUGCCUUAUACAAUUUGUAUACUUAUGAUUUCGACAGUGCAUGUUUUCCAUACACCUGGAUUUUCCAAGUUUUCUAUAAAAUUUCACAUAUCACUAGUACAUGUACUGAUACAAAUUGUUGUAAACUAACAGCUAGUAAAGUUUAAAAAUUUUCAGUUCAUUGACUGAUUAUUUGGAUUAUAAAGAUUAUCUUUAUUCCUGUAUAUGGAAUAAAGUAUUGUUAUCAAUAAACAAUUUUCUAGUUUCUUUAUUUUUUUACCACAUCUCAUAUAAAGCUAUUAUGUCAUAUCUUAGAUAAUUGGAUCUGAUGAAACAAUGAAACAGAUGGUAUUUUUGAAAUUAACGCAUUAAAUAUAGCGAACAAUGAGAUUUAUCUCCUACUAGUCAAACAUUUUUUUUUUGUUGAGCAGUUAUUGUUCGAUUGUAAGAGGACAAAUAUAUAUAAUUACUCACGACUCUCAGCAACAAUUAUGAGUGAAUAUUUUCUGUCCGUUCGUCUUGGAUACCUUCUUACCUGAAAUGUAAUAACAUGAGCUCGUUACUUUAGCGUAAAUCAUUAAGAACGACUCGUAGAUUAAUAAAAUGAGUAAUUCGGAACGACAAGAUAACGAGGAGUAUUUUCUUCAUCCUCUCUCUCUCUCUUUCUCUUUCUCUCUCUCUUUCUCUUUCUGAUUUAAUCUGUUACUUGUCACUUUGAAUUACAAUUUUUCAACUAAUUUGAAAUAAUCAUUAUCAUCAUUUACAAGUAGCUCAAUUACUAACGAUUAAAUGUGAUUCGUUUGAAAUUUCUCGUUAUCCCCUGAAUGUCCACAAAAAAACGUAGAAACCGUUCGCGAAUGAACGGAUCUAAAGGUUACGACUACACUCCACGAUACAAAACCUUCGUUAAACCUUAAGAGCUAUCAUUAAAAAAAAUCAUGUUAAUGCUAUCUUAGGUAAAAUAUCUAGCAUAUAUUAUUUUAUAUUAGAAAUCGAAGAAUUUGAACGAAUACAAUUAAAUGUUCAAUUAUUAUUAGAUGAAAAGUAGAUAACUUAUUGUUUAUAGCGGUUACAAAUAAGUAUUUAUUAUGGUUACUGCAAAUAAACUUAUUAGACAUUGCACAUCUAUAUUCUUUAAUUCUUUUUCUCAGACGAAGUCAGCAUUUGUGGAUAGUAUUGGCUUGGUAUCCUCAAUAUUUUCAUUAAUCAUUUCUAAAAUUGUUUUCUUUAAUUUAUACGGCAAAUUUUGGAUUUUUAACGGUUCCUUUUAAAACGGAUUUUAUUAGGGAAAAUCUUAAGUCUAAGAGGUAAUUUUUUCGUGUACUAUUUUUGAUCCCUUUGGCAACGUUGGAGAAUGAAAAAAUGAUAUUGGAAUAUGCUGGCGCAUUCAACAUCGCUCAAUCAUCUACCCUUUCAUAAUUAUUAAAAAUUUUCUCUUUUUUAGAGACGCCAUAUUGUAAAGUUAUCUUUGACAACCAAAAAUAAUAAAUAAAAAAACUUCAAAACUUAAAUUUCAAACUAAAAGUUCAAAGAAAGGAUUUUUUAUAAAAUCUUAUACUUAUGGUAUCAUGGUUGAAAUAUUAUCCAAAAGUUAUUUUUUUUGUUAUGUUUAUGACAAAGUACAUGAGAAAAUUGAUCUCUUUUAUGAUAAUGUCGUCAUUUUUGAUAAUAUGAUUAAAUACCCAUAAAAUUAUUGUUUUCAGGGUUCUUAAUACAAUUAAAACAAAAUUUGCAUGGGAUGAAGUUUCAUCCCUGAUAUCCUUUAAGGAUUAAAAGUUAACGAAAAAUAGCAACGUAGAUAUAAUAUAAAUGUACGUAUACAUAAUAUUUGAUACGAGUUAUAUGCAUUUACGUAAAAUACUCCGCUACACUUUUUCCAAAUUAGUAUUAUUAUUUUUUUUUUUUUUUUUUUCUGUAUCUUGUUCCAUUUCCUGCAAACACGCCAGUAGAAUGAAGUUUCGUAAGAAUCGUUCUCGAGCGGCGAACUGGUAUUAAAAAUUCGCACUUCAAAAUGCCAUUUUUUGACGAUGAAUCUUUCAAUUGCAAUUUUUUAGUAUCAAAGGCAAAGAAUGAAAAAAAAAGAAAGAUACUCAAUGACUUGAUUUCGUGAGUGCCGAGAAAAGAUGUUUCGAUACAUCCUGCGGCGCUUCACAAAGUCUUUAGCAAGAUAUUACGCUCGUUAACGUCAAAACUCAUGAGCGUUCAAUAAAGAAUCUGUGCGGGCUUCUUUUCACGCAUAAGAAGGUAAAUCGGACACCACGUGAGAUCGGCCUCGCAGCAGGAUCUUUUCUCUCUUCUUAACCGGUCCGUCAACACGAACCUACCGCAUUAUAUAUAUACCGUUCAUAAUAAUCAUGUUUGCACAUUUCUCGCGUGCCUCGUAUCUGGGUUAUGCACAGUAACCUAAAUUAUCCAAGACAUAAAUAUAUAAUCAACGUGUUCACUUACAGGUAGAAAAAAAAAAUAUGGGAUGAAUGCAAUAAAUGAUCGAUUAAGAAUAUAGAAUGUGUCUUAAUUAAAUCGAUUCAUUC